CCCAGGGAUCCCUACUCCAAUUUUUUUAUCCAACAGAAAGCCUUCAUCUAAAUAGGAAUCUGUCAGACUUCCUCCUUGCUUCUUGAUGACAUGAAUUGCCUCCAGAUUACCAGAGCUUUUCAGUCUGAGAACAGCUUCUACGGCUAACUGAGUAAAGUGGUCUUUGUGAUGAGUAAGAAGUUUUGAGGACAAUGUUGUUCCUGCAAUGUUCAUUAAUUAAAUCUUGACGGAACUUAACUUCAUCAGAAGAUCAACUUAAGAAUUCAACAGAGCCUGUCUUGCUGCCUUUGUAGCUUCUCUCCAACCCACAAUGAUGGUCUAUGGGUGAAUCUUUUUUGCAAAGUUUCCGCUUCCCUUAGAAAUUCUGCUGCUAGCACAGUAACAGAGGUAGUACCAUCACCAACUUCAUCAUCUUGAACCCUUGACAUAUCAACUAAAACUUUAGCUGCUGGAUUGUCCACACCGAUGUUUUUUAGAAUAGUUGCACCAUCAUUGGUUACCAUAAGAGAAGCAUCUCGUCCACUGCUUCAUAGAAUUUUAUCCAUGCCCUUAGGUCCUAGGGUGCUCUUCACCAAGUCUCCAAUAGCAAUGGCACGAAUAAAAGACGACAGCCGAGCCAUCUCCACUCUGUCUUCAUCAGCUCCAGCCUUGAAGAUGUUCACAGACACUUAAGGCUAUGGAUUCUUCCUCGGACAUGGCAUGAGACAUGGGCAGGUCACUCACCUUUUGCCAAACAUGCUCAUCAUGUUCGCUGUGUUGUCUGGGAGUGUGCUGCAUUGGGCCCAAACAUUUCAACAUUUACUGAGUUGUGAACCAGGACCCAGCUGAGGGCUUGGUCAUGGAGGCCCCCGCUCCUGGCGUCUGGCACUCCCUGCCUCCUGGCUUGGACUUCUGUGCACACUUUGUCCUUGGUCGUCCCCACCAGUCCUGUUAAGAUCAAUGCCAGCCACAUGCAGACGGUUCCAAAUUCAAGUCCCCAUCUCUGGCCUCUUUGUGAACACUGCAGUUGUGGGUCUCGCUGUGGGACCCCACCCCAGCAUCCCUUCACAGCCAUCUAAUUGGAAACUCCAACGCCAUCCUAGAAAGGAGGCUCUUGAUCUCUCGAUCUCGCCCCCUGGGAGCGAUCUUCCCUUCUCCACCUUCCACUGAGAACUUGUCUGAAGCUCACAUCUCUCCCACUGUCUGCGUGGUUCCAUCACUCCUUAUGGAGAUGCUGUGAUGCUUAGUUUCUUCUGUUAAUGUGACCAGGCUACGGUACUCCAGUAUUUGGUCAAACACUCAUCCAGAGACUUAAAGUAUUUUAAAAGCAUGAUUAACAUUUAAAUAAGUAGACAGGGAUCCCUGGGUGGCACAGUGGUUUGGCGCCUGCCUUUGCCCAGGGUGCGAUCCUGGAGACCUGGGAUCA